rnacentral:rRNA from 1 species
GAUGAACGCUGGCGGCGUGCUUAACACAUGCAAGUCGAACGGUGAAGGCGGAGCUUGCUCUGCUGGAUCAGUGGCGAACGGGUGAGUAACACGUGAGCAAUCUGCCCCUGACUCUGGGAUAAGCGCUGGAAACGGCGUCUAAUACUGGAUACGAGCUGCGAAGGCAUCUUCAGCAGCUGGAAAGAAUUUCGGUCAGGGAUGAGCUCGCGGCCUAUCAGCUUGUUGGUGAGGUAAUGGCUCACCAAGGCGUCGACGGGUAGCCGGCCUGAGAGGGUGACCGGCCACACUGGGACUGAGACACGGCCCAGACUCCUCCGGGAGGCAGCAGUGGGGAAUAUUGCACAAUGGGCGAAAGCCUGAUGCAGCAACGCCGCGUGAGGGACGACGGCCUUCGGGUUGUAAACCUCUUUUAGCAGGGAAGAAGCGAAAGUGACGGUACCUGCAGAAAAAGCGCCGGCUAACUACGUG